rnacentral:rRNA from 1 species
AGUGAACGCUGGCGGUAGGCCUAACACAUGCAAGUCGAACGGCAGCACAGUAAGGGCUUGCUCUUACGGGUGGCGAGUGGCGGACGGGUGAGGAAUACAUCGGAAUCUACUUUUUCGUGGGGGAUAACGUAGGGAAACUUACGCUAAUACCGCAUACGACCUACGGGUGAAAGCAGGGGAUCUUCGGACCUUGCGCGAUUGAAUGAGCCGAUGUCGGAUUAGCUAGUUGGCGGGGUAAAGGCCCACCAAGGCGACGAUCCGUAGCUGGUCUGAGAGGAUGAUCAGCCACACGGGAACUGAGACACGGUCCAGACUCCUACGGGAGGCAGCAGUGGGGAAUAUUGGACAAUGGGCGCAAGCCGGAUCCAGCCAUACCGCGUGGGUGAAGAAGGCCUUCGGGUGGUAAAGCCCUUUUGUUGGGAAAGAAAAGCAGCAGGUUAAUACCCCGCUGUUCUGACGGUACCCAAAGAAUAAGCACCGGCUAACUUCGUG